GUCUCACCAACCCUAAUGUCUGAACACGACAAUACUCCGUGAAAUCCGAUCCUGGCACCAAUGACAGAACAACCUUCCACCAUCUGAAACGAGCUUACCACUGAGCCUUAUGGACCAGAACUCAGCUCACUCACCCUCCGCUUGGAUCCCGGAGGCCCCCUUUGUCAUCUCCUAGAACUGGAGACGACCCUCGACGAUCUUCAGAUGUCGACAACCUUCAAGGUCUUCAAGCACCCUUCGAACUUUUCUCCAGCAACAACCUUCUGGAGAACCGAUUUCCAGCUGACUGUAUUACCUCCAACAGUGAAGACAUAUCCUGUAAUUGACCUGCGUCGAUCCAGAUCUGAUGCAAAGUCUGAGUCGCAAAAGCCCUUGAUCCUGAAGUCUGAUCCUUUCGUAAAAGUUAAGUUCAACUCUGCCGCUCCUUUAACAUACCUCAUGAUCCAUUGUACAGCUAACCAAUGAUCUUUACCAGGUUUUCCCAUGAACCUGCAAACUAGUCCAACUGCGUAAGCAAGAUCCGGCCUGGAACCUACCAUGGCAUACAUGAGGCUGCCAACAGCACUCGCAUACGGUAAACAACCAAAAGAUAACCCCAAGUCAGAAGUAUCACGAAGAUUUCCGAUAACCUAAGAGUUUGCUAUGCAAUUCAAGAUUCAAGAUAUCCGAAAGAGUUUUGCACGGUACGCUCUGGAGUUUCACCAGUGAUCCGUGAAGCUCCGAUGCGUUCUCCUUCUUCUCCGAUCUUCAUCCAGCUCAAUCCUUCCCGCUUGAUCAUUCGUACAAUCUCGCUCUCUCACAGCUCGUAUCUCUCAAGAUGUGUCGCGACUCACAGAUUAAGAUGGUAAGCAAUGAGAAAAGAAAGACUACGACACGCAAGUUUAUAGAGUUCCCCUAUUAACCAGGGUACAUCUCUCUUCAAGAUUAUUCCCGGAAUUCACUAUGGCUCGGAGUUGUUUUACAGAAGCUUAGAGUUCUCGUCAAUGGUGAUUGAUCGAGAGUACAACAGAGAAAGAAGAAGAUAAAAGUUUGUUACAAAGGAACCUUAUCCGUUUCUCGUGCUCUUAUAUGUUUGACCAAACGGUCACUUGGGCCUACCAAUUUCCUGACCCAGCUUCUGUCUGGCUCGAGUGAUUGGGCCUAACUUCUCGAAGCUCAAUAACUCAGCUCCGGUUGACUUGAGAUCGAACCAUCUUCUACAAGAGAAAUUUGAUAAGUAGAAAUGAUUUUUGGAUGAGAUGUCUUCUCGAUUUCUGUCUGAUGAUAUCGAUAAAAUAAAUGUUGGAUAAAAAAAAAAAAAAAGAGAGAGAUAAUUUAGCAAC